UUACACAAAUAUGAAGGCGGGCUGGAACCUCUCGGGGUUACAGCCUUGCUGAAUUAUUCACCCUUGUCUUUUGCGUACUUCUUGUUUCCUUGGUGGGUUCGCCCACCACUAGGACAAACAUAAACCUUUUGUAAUUGCAAUCAGCGUCAGUAACAAAUUAAUAAUUACAACUUUCAACAACGGAUCUCUUGGUUCUGGCAUCGAUGAAGAACGCAGCGAAAUGCGAUAAGUAGUGUGAAUUGCAGAAUUCAGUGAAUCAUCGAAUCUUUGAACGCACAUUGCGCCCUUUGGUAUUCCAAAGGGCAUGCCUGUUCGAGCGUCAUUUGUACCCUCAAGCUUUGCUUGGUGUUGGGCGUCUUGUCUCUAGCUUUGCUGGAGACUCGCCUUAAAGUAAUUGGCAGCCGGCCUACUGGUUUCGGAGCGCAGCACAAGUCGCACUCUCUAUCAGCAAAGGUCUAGCAUCCAUUAAGCCUUUUUUCAACUUUUGACCUCGGAUCAGGUAGGGAUACCCGCUGAACUU
rnacentral:rRNA from 1 species